UCUUGAAGCUUCCAUGCCUUUUUCUCUUUAUCCACCAUGAAAUCAAGUUUUCUUCACUUUCCUUUCCAUGUUUUCUUUUCCUUUCUUCUCCAAACUUCUUGAGCACUAAAUUUACAGCCUUUAACCCUGAUUUCCAGCAUAUCUAAACCCUAGGACGAGAAGAAAGAAAAAGAGAGAAAGGAAGAAAAAGCUUGGUUUUGGUGAUUUAAGCAAGGAACGGUAAGAAUUCUUGUUUUUGGCUUGAGUAGUCUUUGAAAAUGAGUUAGUGACUUCGAGAAAUGUCUUGUGGCAGCAAAGAUUGGCUUGAUUGGAGAAAAUUUGGUAACAUGUAAGCCAAUAAACCCAUGGGUACAUGAAGAACUCAAAGUGGAAAAGGA
rnacentral:lncRNA from 1 species